rnacentral:rRNA from 1 species
AUUGAACGCUGGCGGCAGGCCUAACACAUGCAAGUCGAGCGGAUGAAGGGAGCUUGCUCCUGGAUUCAGCGUCGGACGGGUGAGUAAUGCCUAGGAAUCUGCCUGGUAGUGGGUGAUAACGUCCGGAAACGGGCGCUAAUACCGCAUACAUCCUGAGGGAGAAAGUGGGGGAUCUUCGGACCUCACGCUAUCAGAUGAGCCUAGGUCGGAUUAGCUAGUUGGUGGGGUAAAGGCCUACCAAGGCGACGAUCCGUAACUGGUCUGAGAGGAUGAUCAGUCACACUGGAACUGGGACACGGUCCAGACUCCUACGGGAGGCAGCAGUGGGGAAUAUUGGACAAUGGGCGAAAGCAUGAUCCAGCCAUGCCGCGUGUGUGAAGAAGGUCUUCGGAUUGUAAAGCACUUUAAGUUGGGAGGAAGGGCAGUAAGUUAAUACCUUGCUGUUUUGACGUUACCAACAGAAUAAGCACCGGCUAACUUCGUG